AUACACGCUGGCGGCGUGCUUCACACAUGCAAGUCGAACGAAGUUUUUCUUUCGGGAGGAACUUAGUGGCGGACGGGUGAGUAACGCGUGGGUAACCUGCCCUGUACAGGGGGACAACAGCUGGAAACGGCUGCUAAUACCGCAUAAGCCCUUAGCACUGCAUGGUGCAUAGGGAAAAGGAGCAAUCCGGUACAGGAUGGACCCGCGUCUGAUUAGCCAGUUGGCAGGGUAACGGCCUACCAAAGCGACGAUCAGUAGCCGAUCUGAGAGGAUGUACGGCCACAUUGGGACUGAGACACGGCCCAGACUCCUACGGGAGGCAGCAGUGGGGAAUAUUGCACAAUGGAGGAAACUCUGAUGCAGCGACGCCGCGUGAGUAAAGAAGUAUUUCGGUAUGUAAAGCUCUAUCAGCAGGAAAGAAAAUGACGGUACCUGACUAAGAAGCACCGGCUAAAUACGUG
rnacentral:rRNA from 1 species